GCUACCUACCACCUCUUUCCCACAGUGGAAGCAGAGAUUGGUGAUUAAUAUCCUCUGUCCUGCGGGGGAAAAAAAUUCAUGAUGUCAGAAAAUGAGUGAGUCAACAGAAACCCUACCUAAGAGUCUCCUUGGCUGAGGAGGAAGACGAAAGCACAGUUCUGAGCAUGAGAGCUCACAUUCUGUUUCUACCAGGUGCUUGAAGAAAAGCAAGACAGGUGGUUAAGACUGAAGAGUUGAUCCUGCGCUGUGCUGUGGAGUGGGCAGCUUCUCUCCAUCUUCUCUCACCCUGACAGACUGUCUUAGGAUUCCAGUCUCAGAAGCCAGCUAGGCCUAUGGAGUUGUUACAAGGAAACAUCAUCUUCUGCGAGGAUAAGGCCAAUAAGCCAGGAUGGUUUUGACAUCUGCCUGAUGUGGAUCUCAUCUCCUUGCAACAGACUCUCACCUGUAAAGAAGGCUGUAAGAACUGCUAAGGGAACUGCUCCAAUUUCUCCUAUGCAGAGAAGCACUCUGUGGUCUCUGCUCUAGCACUCUAUAGUAGACUUGUGAGAAUAAAUAUUUAGUUAAGCCUAAGCUUCCUUUUUUGGCACUGCACGUAUCAGGAUCGGUUGCUCUGAAAGCAAACUAAGAUAAUAUACAUAAAUUGCUUUGUACAUAAGUUCUCUUUGUGCAAAAGACCUAGACUUUUCCAGCUUCACCAACUCUUACAUUUGGAAUGUCUUUGGCUUGAAUACAGUUCUAAGUAAAAUAGUACCCUAUAUGUUGUCCCCUCAUCCAUAAUUUCAUUUCUAGCCUUGUUCCAAGACUUCUGAGCUCAAUUGUUUCCUCCACUAACAAUCUUUAAGUGGUUCAUCUGAACCAGAAAAAUGCCCCAAUCUUCCUUGUGUUCUCAUUGUAAGGUCUGGGACAAAGUAAAAUCCUUUAAUUAUUGGAUAAUACACUCUUUAAAACUAAAAGCUAGGACAUGUUCUUAUUUGCACUCUUUACAAGAAUUCCAUAUCAGUUUGUUGACUUGACCGGUGUAAUGAUUCAUUUUAUUGCUUGCUGAAAAGAUAGUCAAAAAUCAUACAAGUGAGAGAUAAAAGAUACAACUUAAAAAAAUAUUGUUUCACUUAGGCAACCACAAAGAAAUGCUUACAAAUAAUUUUCUUUAUAAAGGUAUUAAAAAUCACAUCUUAGUCUUUAAUAAUGUGUUUGCUUAGUGUUUUAAUUAAAAUAAUAAGAUACUUUAGAAAGGAUAUGCUAUAUUUGCAUUUAACCAAAGUAUCUGAAUAAAAAGAAACAAAAAUAAAUGAUUUCAGUGUCUUAGAAACAAUACUUUCUUUGGCCCUGUUAGUUUUUUAAUUGAUUUUUUUCAUAUCUGAUGACGCAGAACCUGUUGUCAUAUAGACAUGGCUAUAGUUUGCCUCAAAGAGAGCUAAUAUUUCAUAAUAUCGUUCAUCAAGUAUAUUUAUGCAUAUAUAUGUUUAAAAUAAAGAAAAAAAAACAAAAAAAAACCCUACUCAUUAAGGAUAGACUAAACACAACUUAAUAUAUGCAGUCCCCAAAUUAAUGAGUAGCUAGGAAGUAAAAGACAGAGAGUUAACUCCAUGGAGAAAAGGUCACACAAAUUUUUCUUAACCACAUUUUAAAGGAGUUUCCAGAUUUCAAUAACUGAACAUAACAAAAAUGCUAAAAUAAAUUUAAUAAAAUCUGCAACACAAACCUCCAAAAAUCAUUAGAGAAUGUAAUCAGUAGAAUUCCCAAAAAUAUUUCUAAAAAUUUCCAUUCUUGUAUAGUUUCUUAGUAGCCAUUUUUGCAAAGUGCUAUCAUUACAGGUUUCCACAGUAGGAUGCUGGGAGCCAUCAGCUACUUUGUUCACUGAGAGACAAGACUGGGUGAUUAUAUGAAGAAGAGUGUGGGUCUGUUUGACAAAGAAAAUAAUGAAUAAUGACAAAAUCAAGUACAAAGACAGUAAUAAAUCAAUCAUCCUAGGCAACAUGCAAUUUCUACUGGAUAAAGAUGGAAGGCACAUGUCACAAUAAUUGUAUCCAUGGAGCUGUGAGCCAUAUUUUUUUAGAUGGCUUUAAUAUCAACCCUAUAAGGAAGGAGUAAAUGAAGAUAAGACUGAGAAUAUGGAGAGGGGCUUAUGAUUAAAUAAUGAAAUAUUUUUGGCAAAAGGUUAUUUUAGAUAUAAAAGAUUAUAUUCUCAGCCUUCAUCCUAGUAAUACAAUGCUUUUUAAUACCAGAUGAGUUAUUUGUGAGUGGAUAUUCAAAAUAGUUGAUUAGUCCAACUAUGGUCCUUGGCCUCCUCAUUCUUUCACCCUAAAAUUAAAUAAAUAUCCGGGACAAAUUCGGAGGAUAAUUUAGCUUUAAGGCUUUACUUUGAACAGUAUGGUACUCAAAUUGCUCCCACUUAUGUUUUUACAAGGCUAACCUGGUUGUGUUCCACAUGUACAUUGCCACCUUUGUUAGAUGUCAAUUAGAAAGGUAGAUAAUGAAGGGAGGAAAAAGAAAAAGAUUAACUCUUAAUCUAAUUCUCCAAACAAUUUUAAUUCAUUAAUUUAUCUGUCUGUUUCUUGCUCUCCAUCUAUUUCCUCCAUAGGAACAUAAGCUCCAGGAAAGCCACAGACUAUGGCCACCUACAUCUUGAAGCUCAGUGCCUGCCCUUGGGAGACACUAAAGAAAGGGUCUCACUAUACUGCCCAGGCUGGCCUCGAACUCCUGGGCUCUAGCAAUCCUCCCAUCUCAGCUUGCCAAGUAGCUGGUACUACAGGCCCAUGCCACUACAUCCAGCUAUAUUAACUCAACUUUGAAGACAAUGUGACAUCCAGGCUGACAUGCAACUUACUGCCAAAUAUAUUUUCCUAUAGCUUUAUUUAAAAUAUUGACUAAAAAUAGGAUCAUCUAAACCCUAAGAUAGUAUUGAGUUUUGUUAAUAAUAUAGUAUUACUUUAUUGUUCUCCUCUAGAAUGUAAAGCCUUGGUAUUGCCUGCAAUGUAGAAUAUUUUAAUCAUAACAUGUAAAAAUACAUAAGAAAAAUAUUAACGAUUCGUGCCUUUAAAUAUAUUUGCAAGUUUGACUAACAUAAAAUGUAGCGUGGAGUAUCUCUAACUUUACCCUUCCAAAUAUAUAAUUCCUACUUAAAGCCAACUGGAAUCAGGCUAAACAAUUUUGGUGACAAAAUAAGAGCCAUUAAUAUUGUAAAAUUAGGCCAUACCUUGGUAUUAAAACAUACUAAUUUAAAAAAGUAGAUAUUUUAAUGAACUGACUGCAUAGUUGAUUUAAGAGCCAAUCGCACAGGUCUCAGUUUAAAAGUUGGUAUAGUAAAAGAUUAAAAUAAAACCCAAUCAAUUAUGUUAUUACAUAUAAUCAUAUACAAAAUAAGUAUAAAUUUGUACUAUUAUAUUUAAUUUAAUAGCAAAGAUAAUAGGAGUUCUUCUGUUAAUCAAGCAUAGAAUAACAAUUAAAAAUUAAUAUAACAAAGUUGUUACUCAAAACAUUAAUUAUGAUCUCCAGACAAGGUAAUCUACGCAUUCAGUUGAACAGAAAUAUUAUAAAAUAUGAAGUGUAAUCAUUUAACAUAUAGGAACUACAAAUAUGACGCUAAUCUAUUGAAAUUCCUACUCACUACUUCUAAUAAGAAAUCACAGCUAUGGGUCAAAAGGAAUAUGGAAAGGUAAUACCUGUGUAAUGCACACAACCUUCAAAAGGUAAAUUGAGCCAUUGUUUUUCUUAGGAAUGCUACACAGGGGAAUGGCUGGGAUGCACUUAAAGAUCACUUACCUUGAAAUUAUAAUCCCAUUUACCUGCUCUCUAAUAAAGGUAAAUAAAAGAUGGUAGUGUAAGUAAAGUCUAAAUAUUAAUCUAACACAUUUCACCUAUGGAAAAAAAUUCCUUAUAUUGUGACUCUGGAAAUUAUUUGAUACAGAUGUAUAUAGAAUUCACAACAAGUAUUUUCUAAGUCAACUUGCUCAGUCACAUGAAAAAUAAGUUAUUUUUAGCAUAUUUUUCUCCCUUUUUUUCUUUGUUGCAUAGUGUUUGUUGAACAUAAGUGUUCUGAUCUAAAAUUAGAUUCUCACACUGUAUGUAGCUGCCUAGUUAUUCAAAAAGAAAUGUAAUUAUGUGCACAUAUCAUAGGGAAAUAUUCUAAAUUGAUUGGAACAUAAUUAUAAUGUUCAAACAGAAUAUAAGAACACCUGAAAACAAUAGAAUGAAUGGAUGACAGCACUUUAUAAAAAUAAUUUUUAAAAUGUCUCAGUGAGAUGAAUUUUUUUCUUUUCAUUUAAUCCUGGCAAUAGGCAUUUCAUGGCACAGAAGGGUUUGUGCAAUUUAUUUAAGCUUCCAGACCACGUAGGUACCCCACAAUUUUGCUAAUGAUGCCCAGGAUGCCCUCAAUUCAAACAGGUUAGGCCACAUAUAAGAUGACAGUGAAUUGAAUUCGUGGUUAUUUAAGAACUAUUUAGUUAGGGGUGUGAGAAACUACAUUUGAAAUCAAAGUUGACCAAAGAAGUGCAUUUAUUACUAACACGUGCUUAGUUUCAUUCAAUUACAAGGAUAAGCAAUUAGAUAUUAUAUUAUGAAUAUGUAUAGCUGAAGUUUGUAAGCAAUUAGAGCAAAAUGACAAAGUAGUUUUAUGACUGCUUAUUUAGCUAAAUAGACUAUAUUUAUUGUAGAACAUCUUUCCCCCUAUUAAAAAAAUGAGAAAUUUUAUUUCAAAAUUUGGCAUAACAAAUAACUGAUAGCAUUUAGCUAUUCCAUUUGAAAUACUGUAUAUUUAGCUUAUUAUAUCUUAACCACUGAAAGAAUCUAAUUAUUUCCAGUCUUUCGAUAACAUCAAGAGGCAAUGUAGUGUAGUAGAAAAAUUGCUGGAUUUACUGCCAGAAUCUGGCAGUGCAAACUUAAACGAGGCAUUUACCCUAUGCUUCAUUUUACUAAUGUGAAAAAUAGAAUAUCUGUCUUAUAAGACUAUUGUAAGAAUUGCAUGAGAAAACAGAUAAAUACGUGUUGAACUGUAUUCCUUCUCUUUUCCCCCACUCACCUAAGAAGUAAACAAAACCAAAGUAGCUGGAUAGAUUCCAUCUUUUGAGGCUUCAUGACACUGUUUCCAUUUUUCUCUGGAUAUUCCAACAAUCUUGCUUCUAUUUAUGACUUUCUUUUCUAAGAUUGAAAGGACUAUGGGAGAUAAGGUGAUGGAAUAUUUGUGCUGUUCACAUGGUGAGAUUCACAAUUGUACUGAUAGCUAGCUUGCUUGGAAUACUUUAUUAGGACCUGAAUCCUAGCUCUGCUGCUAGCGGUGUAAUCUUUCCGCUUUAGUUCCUCCUGAUAAAGGCUUAAAGGAGAGAACUUUAAGGUACAUUUCAGUUCUGUAAUUCUAUGAACUCCAACAAUUUUUAUUCUGCCUUGAACCUGCACCACCUCAGAGAUUUUUCAAAGAAUAAUUUUGUCCUUGCUAGCAAAAGAUAAAGAAUUGAGUUAAAGUAGUAAGCAGUGCGCAUUUACUUUCCACAGGUUGGAAUAUGAGAAGAAUAGAACCACUGAGCAAUUAUUCUUCUUUCUCAUCUCAACACCUCUUAUCCUUUUGCUCCCUUUCCCUCUCUCUGCUCCCCUCUGGAGGCCUUGCCAUUUUCCAAAUUGUAUUCAUGCCUUUUCCUAAAUUUGUAACAUUCUUUAAUCAGUGUAUAAAAAGACUAUGGAAGAUACAUAGAUAAUUGACCCUGUCCUUUUCAAAUGUAAAUGUGUAUAUGAAUGAUCGGAGAUUUUGUUAAAAUACAAACUUGGAUUCAGUGUGUUUAGCACGGGUUCGGAUCCUGCAUUUCUAACAAGUUCCCAGGUGACGCUACUACUCCUGGAAUCACCCUGUGGGUAGCAAGGGGUGGAACCAUUCUGUGAACUAAAGAAACCCUAAAUGUAAAACUUAAAAGCAUAGUAAUAAAUGUUAUAUUUCAAUUAUGUUUCAAAAAAAUCCUUUUUAACGACCUUCUCAAAAAUAUAAUCGCACAUCAAAGCUGAAAUUUCCAGAAAGGCAAUGUAUUAUUCCUACAAUUGCUCUAUUCUCGUGUCAUUUAUUAGAUUAUGAUCUAUGCAUUUUUUAAUUUGGCAAAGUGCUGUCAUUAGACAAUGUAAACAUCACUAGUUAAUUUUGAAAACAUAAACAUAUAAGAGAAUUUAAUUAAGCUAUAUAAUUCAGAUGAUCAAAUUAUUUAAAAUAAAAAUUUCUUAAUAUUUAUGGCAUUUUAUAAGCUUUUUGUGUGUGUGUUCCAAAGUCAAAGUAAACAUGACACAAAAUAUUAUAGUGCUCUGAAAUACUGCAACAGAUAACUACUAGUCAUCCAAAAGAGUAAAUUUAUAGAAAUCAUUUAUUUAUCUACCUAUGUGAAGCUACCUAUUUUUUUUCACUUUUUACUUAAAAUUCCUUAGUAUUCAAUAGCAUUGCUACUAGCUGACAGAAAAUGUAAACCAAAAUAUACACCAAAUUGUUAACACUAGUUAUUUGAGAAACGAAAGAAUUUGAGUUAUGACAUCGUUCACUCAAGAGUUAUGGAAAAGUUUAAAGAUUAAAAGUGGUAUUCUAAAAUUCCACACUGUUUGCUUUUAUAAAAAUGUAUACUAUCAUUCCCCUUUCUUAAUAAAUAUAUUCUAGAUUUUCUUAUUUUUAGCAUAAGCUCAGUAGAGUCCCAGGUUCCUGGUAGAAACGGAACAGUAACAACAACAAGAACAAGUUUUAUUUAAAAACAAAUAUCACUUACAGGAUUUCUACUAUAUCUGUACAUUUUACUGCACUUUUCCUCAUAGAAGAGAGUACUGAUGAAGGAUUUACCUACAUGUAUUUUGCAAAGGCACUGUUUUCUGUAGGCUUAAUAUCAAGGAUGGUACAAUAAAUAAUAGUUGAAGAGAAAAAAAUUGGUGGUCAGACAAGGUGAGUAAGAUAUAGCGAAGGCAAUAGCAUCUUAAUAGAACACACUGGUACAACAUAGGAAGAAUUCUCAGUGUUUGCCCUCAAUUAUGGCCCAGAAGAUGAUUUUGUGUCCUAAGAUCCUGGUAACACUGUAUGAGUGUUAGGCCCAAAAUUAACCCUGCAUAACCAGUUUCAAAUCCUAUGAGAAUUCAGUAAAUUUUUCUAAUAUUCAACUUAAGAAACUACAGACUCAUGCAAAUAUUAAAAUGACAUUCAAAAAGGUUUUUAAAAGGUCUUGCUAAAAUAUCAACAAUACCAAAAACUCUGUAGAUUGGUUUUUAAAAUGUUAUUCUUGUAGAAAAUUUUAGGCUUGCAUGGAAUACUGCAUCUGUGAGACUCAUUUACCUCUAUAGUAGCAUUUAUCUUUUAAGCAGAACGAAGUUUAGUUUUCCUUUUAAAUAAAUCACCUACCACUUAAUAAUGUGGGAAAUGUAACACAGACAACCAAUUCAUUUUGUUAAUCAAAAAAGAAAACUGAAAGAAAUGAAGCUGUUUUCAAGAGUAAGCUUCCUUAUGCAAAGGAAAAUAUUUCUUUUUUAUUAGCUCCAUCUGAUGGCUGAUCUGGUUUUUACACACUGCCUGGAGAUAAAUUUCCAACAGUAAUUUUGUGGUUUUCUCUCCCUCUUCUCUGUCAGAAAGGUGUGCUAUAUUGAGAAGAGGCUACUCAACUUUUUAUGUGACUAAUUAGUUUAUUGAAUUCUGCAAAAUAUUUACAAUUGUAAACAGUAAAGAAAUCUUGUUAAUCCUGUCAGAUAUUGUUCCUUCCAGUUGAGGAACAUAAAUGUCAGUGAUUAGUAUUGUAAAAUUUAAAAUUUGAAAAUAUGGACAUAUUGUCAAUAUUAUCCUGUAUGCACAUCUUCAUACAAACCUCUCAGAUAGGCUUAGCUUACCUCUUGCCUAAUUUAUGUUUGGCAUGUACAUGGAGAUAACAAGUUGUCAUACACAAAACUGAUUUUAUUGUCCUCAUUCAUAUUUUAUAUUAAUGGACCAAUUUGGUGAAACCUGUUUAUAUGAUAUGCCAUCCUAAUGUUACCGGAUAUGAGCCUGCAUGCUUGAAAAUCUAAUUCUGCCAAUGUAGAUAAAAACCAGCUUAAGAUUUAAAUGUUGAAUGUUGAAAUAUAUAACUGAGCUUAAGCAUCAAAUAAUAAGUAAAUUAAGAAAAUACUAUACCUCAGCA